UACGGAGGAUGCAAGCGUUAUCCGGAAUGAUUGGGCGUAAAGCGUCCGCAGGUGGCUAUGUAAGUCUGUUGUUAAAGAGUGAGGCUCAACCUCAUAAGAGCAGUGGAAACUACAUGGCUAGAGUGCGUUCGGGGCAGAGGGAAUUCCUGGUGUAGCGGUGAAAUGCGUAGAUAUCAGGAAGAACACCGGUGGCGAAAGCGCUCUGCUAGGCCGCAACUGACACUGAGGGACGAAAGCUAGGGGAGCGAAUGGG
rnacentral:rRNA from 1 species